rnacentral:rRNA from 1 species
UGCGGUACACUGACCGUACUAAGGUAGCAUAAUAAUUUGCCUUUUAAUUGGAGGCUAGUAUGAAUGGCUUGACGUGAAAUAUACUGUCUCAACUAUAUUUAGUAGAAUUUAACCUUUAGGUGAAGAGGCCUAAAUUUUGUGGGAAGACAAGAAGACCCUAUUGAGCUUUAAAUAUUUGUGUUAGUGGGAACCUAAGAUUUAUAUGAUGGUCAUUACCUCUAAGUAUGUUGGUUGGGGCGACCGAGGAGUGUAAAAUAACCUCCUUGUAAUGUAAAGAAUUUGUUAUCAACGAACCUGUAAUAUAGGUUAUUCGGUAGUUACCAUAGGGAUAACAGCGUAAUUCUUUUGAAGAGUUCAUAUCGAAGAAAGAGAUUGCGACCUCGAUGUUGGAUUAAGGUGUCCUAAGGGUAGAAGAAG